rnacentral:rRNA from 1 species
CUCCUACGGGAGGCAGCAGUGAGGAAUAUUGGUCAAUGGACGCAAGUCUGAACCAGCCAUGCCGCGUGCAGGAUGACGGUCCUAUGGAUUGUAAACUGCUUUUGUACGAGAAGAAACACUCCUUCGUGAAGGAGCUUGACGGUAUCGUAAGAAUAAGGAUCGGCUAACUCCGUGCCAGCAGCCGCGGUAAUACGGAGGAUCCAAGCGUUAUCCGGAAUCAUUGGGUUUAAAGGGUCCGUAGGCGGUCUAGUAAGUCAGUGGUGAAAGCCCAUCGCUCAACGGUGGAACGGCCAUUGAUACUGCUGGACUUGAAUUACUGGGAAGUAACUAGAAUAUGUAGUGUAGCGGUGAAAUGCUUAGAUAUUACAUGGAAUACCAAUUGCGAAGGCAGGUUACUACCAGUUUAUUGACGCUGAUGGACGAAAGCGUGGGGAGCGAACAGGAUUAGAUACCCUGGUAGUCCACGCCGUAAACGAUGGAUACUAGCUGUUGGGGGCAACUUCAGUGGCUAAGCGAAAGUGAUAAGUAUCCCACCUGG